rnacentral:sRNA from 1 species
AACCCACGACAAAUGGAUCAUAAAGUCUUUAAAAAAGAAUAGAUACGAUUGCAUUGCAUGUAGUAACGAAUGCAAUCAUAGCAGCACUAAUGCACCAGAUCCCAACAGAACUCCGCACUUAAGCGUGCUUUGGCGAGAGUAGUACUAGCAUGGGUGACCACCUGGAAAGUCCUCGUGUUGCAUCCCUCUUUUUUUUUGGUUUUUCUCUUUUUGUUUUGUCAAAAAUGUAUGACUCUAGAACUUUUAGACCGUGAGGCUAAACUUGACAUGUGAUACCUUUUCGGAAAGCCCAAAGAGAGCUCUCCGAUGAAUGAGUAAGGAAAAUGGAAUUCUUCUAUUUGUUUUUUUCCUUCUCCAAAUUUUGAUUGUAAUGUACUUUUUCGAGCCUUUUCAUUAUCUUUGCUAUAUUACGGGGCCAAAAUUAUAUGUUCGGACAUUGUUUUCGAAUAUUUUGCAUGUAUCAAAGCUCUUAUAAACAAGAUAGGGUAUUCCUACACAGGUGGUGGGACCCACGGCAAAUGGAUCAUAAAGUCUUCAAAAAAGAAUAGAUACAAUUGCAUUGCAUGUAGUAACGGAUGCGAUCAUACCAGCACUAAUCCACCAGAUCCCAUCAGAACUACGUAGUUAAGCGUGCUUGGGCGAGAGUAGUACUAGGAUGGGUAACCUCCUGGAAAGUCCUCGUGUUGCAUCCCUCUUUUUUUUUGGUUUUUCUCUUUUUGUUUUGUCAAAAAUGUAUGACUCUAGAACUUUUAGACCGUGAGGCCAAACUUGGCAUGUGAUACCUUUUCGGAAAGCCCAAAGAGAGCUCUCCGAUGAAUUAGGAAGGAGAAUGGAAUUCUUCUAUAGUUUUUUUUUCUACUCCAAAUUUUGACCUUAAUGUACUUUUUCGGGCCUUUUCGUAAUCUUUGUUAUAUUACGGGGCGAAAAUUAUAUGUACGGACAUUAUUUUCGUAUAUUUUGCAUGUAUCAAAGCUCUUAUAAACAAGAUAGGGUAUUCCUACAUAGCUGGUGGGACCCACGGCAAAUCGAUCAUAAAGUCUUCAAAAAAGAAUAAAUACGAUUGCAUUGCAUGUAGUUACGGAUGCGAUCAUACUAGCACUAAUGCACCAGGUCCCAUCAGAACUCUACAGUUAAGCGUGCUUGGGCGAGAGUAGUACUAGGAUGGGUGACCUCCAGGAAAGUCCUCGUGUGUCAUCCCUCUUUUUGUUUUGUUAAAAAUGUAUGACUCUAUAACUUUAAGACCGUGAGGCCAAACUUGACAUGUGAUACCUUUUCGGAAAGCCCAAAGAGAGCUCUCCGAUGAAUGAGGAAGGAAAAUAGAAUUCUUCUAUAGUUUUUUUUCCUUCUCCAAAUUUUGAUUUUAAUAUAAUUUUUCGAGCCUUUUCGUUAUAUUUGCUAUAUUACGGGGCCAAAAUUAUAUGUUCGGACAUUAUUUUCGAAUAUUUUGCAUGUAUCAAAGCUCUUAUAAACAAGAUAGGGUAUUCCUACACAGCUGGUCGGACCCACGGUAAAUGGAUCAUAAAGUCUUCAAAAAAAAAUAGAUACAAUUGCAUUGCAUGUAGUAACGGAUGCGAUCAUACCAGCACUAAUGCACCAGAUCCCAUCAGAACUCCGUAGUUAAGCGUGCUUGGGCGAGAGUAGUACUAGGAUGGGUGACCUCAUGGAAAGUCCUCGUGUUUUAUCCCUUUUUUUCGGUUUUUCUCUUUUUUUUAUGUCAAAAAUGUAUGACUCUAGAACUUUUAGACCGUGAGGCCAAACUUGGCAUGUGAUACUUUUUCGGAAAGUACAAAGAGAGCUCUCCGAUGAAUUAGGAAGGAAAAUGGAAUUCUUCUAUAGUUUUUUUUUCUACUCCAAAGUUUGACCUUAAUGUACUUUUUCAGGCCUUUUCGUAAUCUUUGCUAUAUUACGGGGCGAAAAUUAUAUGUACGGACAUUGUUUUCGUAUAUUUUGCAUGUAUCAAAGCUCUUCUAAACAAGAUAGGGUAUUCCUACAUAGCUGGUGGGACCCAAGGCAAAUCGAUCAUAAAGUCUUCAAAAAAGAAUAGAUAAGAUUGCAUUGCAUGUAGUU